UACGUAGGUGGCAAGCGUUGUCCGGAUUUACUGGGCGUAAAGAGCGCGCAGGCGGUCGAUUUAGUCGUGUGUGAAAGCCCCCGGCUCAACUGGGGAGGGUCACGCGAUACUGAUCGACUCGAAGGCAGGAGAGGGUAGUGGAAUUCCCGGUGUAGUGGUGAAAUGCGUAGAUAUCAGGAGGAACACCAAUGGCGAAGGCAGAUCUCUGGGCCGUAACUGACGCUGAGGAGCGAAAGCAUGGGGAGCGAACAGG
rnacentral:rRNA from 1 species